CAAUAAUAACGAAAAAGGCAGUUGCUUCAACAACUGCCCUUGUAGAACCGUUUAAGACGGUGGCAUAACUAACCGUUAAAAAAUA
rnacentral:sRNA from 1 species